UUUAUUUUAGCGGCGGACGGGUGAGUAACGUGUGGGCAACCUGCCUUUUACUGGGGAAUAAUCACUGGAAACGGUGACUAAUACCGCAUAAUAUUCUUGGAAGGCAUCUUCCGAGAAGGAAAGGAAAUAUUCGGUAAAAGAUGGGCCCGCAUCUGAUUAGCUAGUUGGUGAGAUAACAGCCCACCAAGGCGACGAUCAGUAGCCGACCUGAGAGGGUGACCGGCCACAUUGGGACUGAGACACGGCCCAAACUCCUACGGGAGGCAGCAG
rnacentral:rRNA from 1 species